GAUGAACGCUGGCGGCGUGCCUAAUACAUGCAAGUCGAGCGAACAGACGAGGAGCUUGCUCCUUUGACGUUAGCGGCGGACGGGUGAGUAACACGUGGGUAACCUACCUAUCAGACUGGGAUAACUUCGGGAAACCGGAGCUAAUACCGGAUAAUAUUUCGAACCGCAUGGUUCGAUAGUGAAAGAUGGCUUUGCUAUCACUUAUAGAUGGACCUGCGCCGUAUUAGCUAGUUGGUAAGGUAACGGCUUACCAAGGCAACGAUACGUAGCCGACCUGAGAGGGUGAUCGGCCACACUGGAGCUGAGACACGGUCCAGACUCCUACGGGAGGCAGCAGUAGGGAAUCUGCCGCAAUGGGCGAAAGCCUGACGGAGCAACGCCGCGUGAGUGAUGAAGGUCUUCGGAUCGUAAAACUCUGUUAUUAGGGAAGAACAAACGUGUAAGUAACUGUGCACGGCUUGACGGUACCUAAUCAGAAAGCCACGGCUAACUACGUG
rnacentral:rRNA from 1 species